UACGUAGGGGGCUAGCGUUAUCCGGAAUUACUGGGCGUAAAGGGCGCGUAGGUGGUUUCUUAAGUCAGAGGUGAAAGGCUACGGCUCAACCGUAGUAAGCCUUUGAAACUGAGAAACUUGAGUGCAGGAGAGGAGAGUAGAAUUCCUAGUGUAGCGGUGAAAUGCGUAGAUAUUAGGAGGAAUACCAGUGGCGAAGGCGGCUCUCUGGACAGUAACUGACACUGAGGCACGAAAGCGUGGGGAGCAAACAGG
rnacentral:rRNA from 1 species